UUGGGUUUUAAAACUUGACUUCUUAGCAGUAAUGUAGACUAUCUAAAAUCCUGUUACCUCUUAAUGUAAAAAGUGUAACAGUUGUUCAGUAGGAGCCCUCAGAGAGAAGCUGUUGCAUCCUGGUGUGGGGUUUUUUAAUGCUGCUGCUGGUUUGCUCCUUGAAGGAAGAGGAGCUUUAGACAGGUUAGGACUACUACACCUUCCAUCACCUGAGUGAUGGUUACUUAAAGCUUCAGGGGGUGAGAAGUCCUUGAGCAUGGGAAAUCAGUCAGGUGGGAGAACCCAGGUGCAUUUAUUAGCUCUUUGCAGGUGGAAUUUGAAGUGCCUGAUGUCCCUCACCUGUGUCUGUUUGUGUGAAUGCCCUUUUAUACAUAGCUUUUUGUACUGGUGAAAUGCAGUUACAUGGUGGAAGAAUGUGUUAGAUAUAUGAGGCAAGGAGAAAAUCUUCUGGAUACAGUGCAAGGAUAUUUAGGUUAUGCUUUUUCAUGCCAGUCGCUUUCAGGGUACGUUGUUAGCAAGGAUUAAAACUUACUGUAUUUCUGAUAGAUACUUUGUAGUACUCUAGUGCCAUUUUGGUGUGAAUUCUUGAGUGUGAAGUGGAAAUGCUCUCUUGUUUUUCACAGCAGAAAUGAGCUGCUCUGGUCUCUGUAUGACGAGAUAGGAUGAAGCCAAGCUAACAAAUGAGGUCACCUGGUGCCCUUUGGAGGAGUUCCAGCCUUGCUGUGAAGCACUGAUAAAGCCACAGGGCUGGUGGCUGCUGCGAUUUCAGGGGUUCAGCAGAUAAAUGCAUGUUUCUUCAACUAAGUCAGGCUUCCUAUUUUCCUAAUCCAAAGAAGUCCAUGAGUAGCUGCAUCUUUUCAACUUUGAUUGCAAUUUGCUAAUGUUUCUCUCCAGUGGCAACUGAGCUCCUUGGCCUGGAAGUUGCUCUCUCCUCUGGAGGAAGGUGAGGAAGGGACCACAGAAGAGAGGAGGAGGAAGAUUCAGGCAAAAUGUCUCCUCUCUGCCCUGCUGUGUCAUGUUCUUCUGUGUGACAGAAAACUAGUCUCCCAAAUGCAACAAAGAAAUAUGCUCACCUCUUCAGGGCUGUGCAGAAAGGCUCACUUGAAGAAAGAUUCAGAGACCUGGUAUAUGCUGGCCACUUCUCUCUUUCCUUCCAGAGAGAGAGGGAUACCCACCCUUCCUGCCAUUAGCCUUCUCCAGUUUCUCAGAGGCAGUAGGUCAUACAUAAUAAUAUUUCUUUAAAAACCAAACAAACCCACAAACAGAACACUUUGUAGAUAACACCAUGUGGGGAGUGUAGCAGCAGGGCUGACAUAAGGAGUUAGGAAGGUGCAGCUGUUUGUGGGACUGGCAAUCAGGUCAGGGAAUUGAAUUCACUUGAAAAGGCAGGUGGGGGAGAGGGAAGGGGCUGUGCUUUGCUUUGCUUUGCAGCCUGGAUCAGCUGCCUGAUCUGGCUCACAGCACAACUGGAUGUGCGCUGCUGCGCUGGGGAGGCAGUAAAAGGCUGGGGGUGGGAUGGGAGAUGUAAGGGAACUCCUGCCACUUGAGUUGCUGCUUACAGCAGUGUCUGUAAGACAGUGCCCAAGUUUGGGAAUUACUACAGUUCUGAGUUUGCUCUUAAGGAAAUUAAUAGGGUUUAAUUAAUUAAACCCUAUUAAUAGAAAUUAAUAGAGGCCUAUGUUUGCCAGUAAGCUUCAUGACAGCUUUCCCUGGGACAGUCUCUUUCAACACAAUUUUUCAGAUGUGAUAGCAAAGGUUAAGCAAACAGAUUUGCUUUUGGGAACAAAGAUAAAAUGUAGAAGUCAUGAAUUCCUUGUUGGUGUGGUCUCUGUUAGUGGUUUCCAUGUACCUUCCUGUGGCUGAAGCCUUUGCUGUCUCUGCUGUGGUGGAGCUGGCACAGCUGUCAGCGUCACUUGGUCGGGGAAAAGUUGACUCAAGUGGAAUCACUGAUUGUUCUUCAUUUUCUUUGCAAAAAAACCCUCUCAGAAAUGCUGAGCUUUUUCAACAAAGACCAACUCCAGUUGUAAGAAAGAUGCCAGGUCAUCUCUGUGCCAUUUUUAACAAAACAUGAAGAUAUCAGUCCAGAUUGGUUUUAAGGCAGCCUUCAAAAUAAUAUUCAGGAAACUUCUCCUGCUCAUCAGGAGUAACCUUCUGACAAAAUUCCCUCUGUGGUUUCUGGUUUAACUGGAAGGAUUUUCUCCGCUAUGAAGGUUUCUCAACACAUGUCUUUUCCCUCUGAUGCUAUGGAGCCAUGCAAUGAACAAGAUUUUUUCAGCUGCACAUGUGAGCUGCAUAGGACACAAUAAACCUACCCUAAAGAUGAUUUCAUGCAUGACAUUCUGUCAAAGUUUUGCUUCUACACAUUUUGAAUUCCACCCAUGUCAGAAGCCAAGAAACAACUACACUCAACUGGCAUCAAGAGUCCUUUUCAUCUGAGGGAGCAUGAUUUAGAUACUUCCUUUUCCAAAGAUGGAGGCUGAAUAUUUAUGUGCAGCAUUGUCUCGGCCAUGCCAAUGCCAGCAGAUGAAAGAGCUGCAGAAACAGGACUCUUCCAAGAAAGCUGCAGCUGGGGCAUUUGCUCAGCUCCAGACUUGUAAAUGCCUUGCUUAGGGACAUGGCUUAGUGGUGGACAGGGCAGUCAAAUUUUUACACUUGGAAUCAAUGAUCUCAAAGGUCUUUUCCAAUCUCAAUUAUCCUGUGAUUCUAUAUGCCAGUUAGACAUGGUUUAGGGAGCUAUUGCUACGUUCUUCCAUAACAGGUAGUUUGAUAACCUGUUAUAACAAUGAAGUUUGAUUGAUGUUGUAAAGUGCCAGUUUGAUGACUGGCACCUGCAAAGGUAUUCAUAAGACUAUUGUAAGGUUCAUUUUAAUGCCACACAAAUUAAAUUCAUUUUAUUACGUACAAACGAUGGACAAAACUGAAUUAAUUAAAAACUGAGUGAUUGCAAUUGUAGGAGAAAGGUAAAAGAGUCAUCCUUAUAAUCAAAAAAGGAAAUCAAAUGUUAAGAAUUAGUAUGGCGAAAUAACAAUCAGGACAAGGAAAAUGAAAUAGAGUAUAAAAAUUUGCUGCUGUAUAAAUCCAAAGUGUGCCCAUACUCUGCCUGCUGUGUGCAGUUCAGCUCUCCCUGUCCUCCACCUUGAAAAGGGCUAUAAUAGAACUAGCCAGAGAAAGCCAAAGGUGAUCUUAAGACAUGAAAUGGCUUCUACAGGAAGAAUAAAUAGGUCUCUGCUUGGAAAGGAUAUAACUGAAAAUAAAUAUUGCAAAAAUUCAGGAAUUCAUGGGUGACACGGAAAUUACAGAAUCAUUUAGGCUGGAAAAUACCUCAGAACCAUUGAGUCCAACCAUCUAUAGACCCAGCACUGCCACAUCCAACACUAAACCAUGUCCCAAGUGCCACAUCCACUCAUCUUUUAAAUACCUCCAGGGAUGGUGAUUCAACCACUUCCCUGGGCAGUUUGUUCCAAUGCUGGACAACUCUUUUUGUGAACAAAUUCUUCAUAAUACUCAAUCUGAACCUCCCCUGGCACAACUUGAGGCCAUUUUUCUUGUCCCUGUUGUUCUUUCAUUGGAAAAGACAGCUGUUUUGGGACUAUGCAAUGAAGAAAAUAGGUGGCACAUAAAAGGAUGCAAUUUUUUUAAACAGGCACUUAAGCCAUGGAACUCCUGCUAGAAAAUAUGAGUGACAGAAAGAACUCCAUUUAUCAUAAUUCCACUAAGACUGGGGAAUACUAAGAGGAAGUUACUGCUUUGCUUUACUUCUUUACAAACCAGCUGGGCAGUGGAAUGAUCUGUGCCUGCAUGAAGAGUUAGGGGAAAAGGAGGAAGACUUGGUAGAAUAGAAAACUUAAGGAAAGGAUGGGAAAGAAGAUGAAAAGGGUGAAAGGCUCUGGAUUGAAAGAACGAGGAGAAAUGUUUUGACUCUGAGGGCUGGGGAGGUGGCUUGUGAAAGGAGUUUGGAGA